CCUGGUCCCUUGCCUGCUGCUCUGCGCUGAGACCCAGGUGGCUCUCACCCCACACGCCCUGGACGCCGCACCUGCUCGUGCGCCCGUGGCUUUUCCUGAGUACAGGCAGAUGGUCACUUAUUUAUUUCACUCAGCCUCAGUUUUAUUUCUUUACAAAAUGGGGAGAAUUCAUCAUCUCCGCUGUAGAAGCUGAAAUGGUGGCUACAAAACUGUUCCCGCCGCAGAGGAAAAACCGUGGGAACGUGACGCCGAAGGGAAAGUCCCAGCCCCACCCCACGCGCCUGCAGCCUCCCGCCUUCUAAACUAGACGGGGCGGGGCCCCGGCAUCGACCGCUCGGCGCUCCUCUAGGCGCCCUGGCGUGAUCGGAGGAGCUGAGUGAUCGGAAGUCCUCGUGCUAGCCUGACUGCUCAUAGGAAGAGCGCCAAGGAGCUCAGCCCCGAUGGAACCAGUCGUCGCCAGCCCCGCGGAAGAGGGAGCACCGUCCAAGGACGAGAGGCAUGCAUCUGCCGGCGCGAGGGGUGCUACAGAUACUCUGGCGGGAUCAGGCCACCUGUGGGAGGCCCUCAGGGCCCUGCUGCCACCGCAGGAUGAGCUGAGGCUGGAGCUGGGUGACACGGUGGACAGGAGCGUGGCGACGCUGGUGCGGCAGGCCGCCGAGCUCUUCCACGGCGGCAGGUGGGACGAGUGUCGGCAGAGCAGCGAGGUGCUGCUGGACUACGCCUGGGAGCGGCUCAACACGGGGCCGUGGCGGGACGUGGACAAGGACUGGCGGCGCGUCUACGCCUUCGGCUGCCUACUGAAAGCCCUGUGCCUGUGCCAGGCCCCCCGGGAGGCCUCCACUGUGACCGCGGCGCUGCGGGUCUGCGACAUGGGCCUGCUGAUGGGGGCGGCCAUCUUUGGGAACAUCCUCAUUAAAGUGGCCGCCAUCUUGCAGAAGCACCUGCCACCUGGAAAGAGGCCUGCCCAGGACCGCGGCCAGGAGCAGCCCGGCGAGAAGAGAGCCAGGAGUGACCCGGUCCCGGUUCCGGAGGUGACGCUGGACAGCGCGGUGCCCCGGCUGCGCCGCCCGUCUCUCCAGCACUUCAGGGAGCACUUCCUGCUGCCCGGGAGGCCAGUGGUCUUGGAGGGCGUGGUGGACCAUUGGCCCUGCAUGAAGAAGUGGAGCUUGGAGUACAUCCAGGAGGUUGCCGGCUGCCGUACUGUCCCAGUGGAGGUGGGGUCCAGAUACACGGACGAGGAGUGGUCCCAGACGCUCAUGACCGUCGGGGACUUCAUCCGCAAGUACAUCGUGGACGAGGCCGGGGACGUCGGGUACCUCGCUCAGCACCAGCUCUUUGACCAGAUCCCGGAGCUGAAGCAGGACAUCAGUAUCCCCGACUACUGCUGCCUGGGAGACGGGGAGGAAGACGAGAUCACCAUCAAUGCCUGGUUCGGGCCCCGGGGCACCGUCUCCCCGCUGCACCAGGAUCCCCAGCAGAACUUCCUCGUCCAGGUGCUGGGGAGGAAGUACCUCCGGCUGUACUCGCCGCAGCACUCCGACGCCCUGUACCCUCACGAGACGCCCCUCCUCCACAACACGAGCCAGGUGGACGUGGAGACCCCAGACCUGGAGAGGUUCCCCAGGUUCGCCGAGGCCCCCUCGCUGGCCUGCAUCCUGUCGCCUGGCGAGAUGCUCUUCAUCCCCGCCACGCACUGGCACUACGUGCGGGCGCUCGACCUGAGCUUCUCCGUCAGCUUCUGGUGGGCGUAGCCGGCAGGGCAGCUGCCGGGGUCUGCGGCACCCACAGGCUGCCCUGGGAGCAUGGAGCCACCCCGGGCGAGGUGGGCAUGGCCAAGGAAGGCCGGGAGAACCCAGGGCACUCCAGGCAGGCAUCCGAGAGCCUCCGACGUGUGGGGUGGGCCAGGUGGUGGGCGUGUGCAGGGGGAGGCGAGGACGAGGACUCAGCCUGGCGGCCCCACCACCAUGCCAUCUCCCUCCGUAGCCAGCGGGCCCCGGGGAGGGUCCUUCCUGGCCUGGUCCGGGGCACGGUGCCCCGCUGACUGACGGGAGAGCCUCUGUGAGCCUCGCUGCCACAGGGCCAGCUGCCCGUGGAGGGCACAGGUUCCGCGGAAAGGGCCAGAGCCGCUCUGCACGUGGACGCCGCCCCUCCUGCCCCCUCCCCCAGAGACCCCACCUUCAGGCUUUCUGUGGACUUUGUUUCACCAUUAAAAGGUCCCCUCUGGGAGAAGCACAAAUGAGCGGCCGUUCCUAGGGGUUGUCUGGGCGGUGACAGCAUUCACCACACGUGACGGCCGUGAGGGAGAGGAAUUCAUCCCAGGCCAAGUCCCAAAGAAACAGGGAGCAGGUGUCUGCCAUGGUUAAGCCGCCGCUUCAGACUCCCGCAGCCCUAUCGGAGCGCCUGGGUUCAAGCCCCAGCUCCACUUCCAGUCCCAGCUCCCUGCCAACACACACCCUGGGAGGCAGCGGUGACGGCUCCCAUAGUCAGGUCCCUGCCCCGCAGUGGGAGCCCGGAUUGAGUUCUGGCUCCUGGGUGUUUGGGGAGUGAGCCAGUGGAUGGUUCAUCCCCAACCCCAUGUGCAAUAAGGUAAAUUCUAAAUGUACUUUAAAAUAAAAUAUAGAGGAAGCUUAACAAAGCUAAGAGUCGCAACUCACUAGUGCUGCAAGAUGAACUGAAACAGAUCCCUACUGGGUUCACAGUCUGCUUCAGGCUGGGGGUGGGAGUGUAGUUCAGCUACCAGAAACCAGAACCCGGGCGAGCCCCUCACACGCCUGCUGGGAACCCACCCUAAGGAAACGCUGGAUGGCCCGGGCGGCAGGGACAGGGACAGCAAAGCCGGGACAUCCUAACCGCUCCGUGCCAAACAGCCCUUUAGAGCAGUGCACGUUUCUGUCCUGAGAAGCCGCCACGUCACACCGAGCGACACGCAGUUCCUAAUGUGCACAGUGAGCACGUACAUGUGCACGGCCCACGGUGCUCCAGCUGCGGGUGCUUCUAGGCCAGCAGUAAGGGUGGACGGGGCCGGUGCCGUGGCCUGUCAGGCAGCCGGCAUCCUAUAUGGGCGCCAAUUUGAGCCCCAAGUGCUCCACUUCCAAUCCAAUCCCUGCCAAUGUGCCUGAGAAAGCAGCAGAGGACGUGGGCCCCUGCACCCAUGUGGGAGACCCGGGUGAGGCGACCAGUCGCAGCCAUUCUAGCCAUUUAGGGAGUGAGCCAGCAGACGGAAGACCUGUCUCUCACUCUUAACUCGGCUUCUCAAAUAAAUAAACCUUUUUAAAAGGACUAUAGAUGUUUGGUUUCAUCUAUCAUUUGAAAUUUUGCCACGAGUGUCAGUAGCUGUGGCGGAGCAGGUUAAGCCACCAC